UUUCUUGAGUAACAAGGUGUCCUAUUUGAACAGCUGCUUUGGAAAUAGUUUUUUUUUUUUAAUAAGUGUUAUUUGAUUUUAUGAUGUUUUGACCGAGUUUGACAAAAGCCCUUGAGUAAGGCUGACUUUAUUCCUUGACUAUCAGUGAUCUCCUGAGGACUGCAUUUGAAUUGAGUUCUGAUUAUGACCUAAUCACAUUGUGAUUUGGAGUCCAGAGAACUUGGGUUCCAGUUUUUUCUCUGCUGUUCAUUGACUAUGUGAUUUCAAAAAAGCCAUUUUAUCUCUCUGAGCUCAAAUCUCCCCAUCUAUAAAAUGAAGUUUUGAGUGGACAACAUCAUAGUCAAUCAGAAUUAAAUGCUUGGGGAAGGACACCAUCUUUCCCCACACUGGGGAGGGAGAAUAGGUACCCUGAAGAGUCCUGUCUGUGGGUCAAGAAGUGCCAACUUUUUGAAGAAGUGAAUAUGAGGGACCCAUAAAAGAAGAUUCACAGCAGAAGGAAGAAGAUGUGACUGGUUCCUGUAUCUCUGAGUCAGUGAAUUGACAUACCCUCCUUAGCACAAGAGCUUGACUAUUUGUGGUACUGGAAGUUGGUCAACCUGGGACAGUCUACCUCAGGCUGGCUGUCACUCGCCUUGAAAUGAGAUCACCAGAACAAGGUACUUCAGCUGUCACUUCAUCAGGAACUGAAGAAUCCACGUUAUCUGCUAACCCUCUAUGGAAUGGCACAGCAAGAAACAUCAGGGUGCCAGAACAUCUGGAAUCAACUACUUGAACCCUGGAAAAUAGGUUUACCUGUGCAAGUGACAACUUCACGACUUUCCUGCAAUGGCCCCCGAAGUUUUGCCUCUGACCUGCUUCUCAUAGCACAAGUUUGUGGACCCACAUUGGGAAUGGCUAUUUCCUGUGGACUCAUCCAUGAGUCCUACAAAAUAAAUUGGAAGAUUCCUCCCUACAUUUCUUUAGGAACAUCCAUCCAUCCAUCCAUCCAUCCAUUCAUCCAGUGGGAACCUGGAGCAUCUCUUAGCUUCUAAGGCUACACUCCUGACUCAUCUCCAUUGGACUUUCUCUACCAAACCAUAGAAAUCUCUUCACUGUGGAAAUUCAUUGUACUCCUGAUUUCAUAUUGGAAGAAUGACUCCAAUCCCUUCAACUUCUAAUUGGAUAUUUCUUUCAAGAACUAUCAUUUUAAAGUAUAAGGCCAGGUCAACCAUAUCUUUAUUCCUCUUGGUUUGUACUGCUGAUUUAUAAGACUUUCUCUACUUUAAUCCCAGUCAAAUACUUUCAUCAUACCCUGUUUCCAUGAUUCCUUUUAGCUCUUUUUUAUGAGUUGUCUUUCUCCAUUAGAAUGUAAGCUCCUCAAAGACAGGGACUAUGUGCUUGUAUUCCAAGCUCUUAGCACAGUGUCUGCCCCAUAGUAAAUACUUGUUGACUUGACAUAAUAGAUGUCUAAUAAAUGCCACUUGGCAAACUAUUUUUCUAUUUGAAAAUAAAACUAUGAGUGGAAGGCAAAUUCUUUAUCAGAAGUGAUUGGCUUUUUGUUUUUGGAUCCCAGUGCUUUCUUUGUAGGAGUAGUUAUUUAAUAAAAAAAAUUUUUUUUAAUCAAAUUGAACAGUGUCAGCAAUAAUUUAAUUAUCCAAGUGUGCCCACUGAAUUAGUGGUAGAAUUGGAUCCACACUUAGGACUUGGUCUCAUAAUUUACUUCAUCACCUCAAACUUGACCAGCUUACAUGCUUGCCUCCAGUUCUCUGGGAUAGCUGUCAGGAAAACCUAGAAUGAUAGUUCCUUAAAACUAUAAGGGAUCUUAGAUGAAAGAUGAGGGUACUCACUGAAACUCAUCUCUAGGCAUUAAAGAGGGGAAAUUUCUUGCUCAAGUUUCCAUAGUGUGGAACUUAGGUCUUCUAACUCUUGAAUCCAGAGUUUUUCAUUAUACUACAUUGUCUCUAUUCAGACAGUUGUGGGCUGGAAUAUGUUAUCCUUGAUUGUAAGUGAAGAAAAAGCUCAGGCUAGAAGGUGAGAAGGAAAAAAGAUGGUUCAGUCUCUCUCCUUCCUCUUUCCACCUUCUGAUAUAAAAGAAUAAAGGAAGGAAGGAGCUGUAGCCUAAAAUAAAAUGACUUCAGUCUUGACUGUCUGAAACAGGAAUGGGCUAGAGCUUGCCCUCUCCUAAAGAUUGAAGUUAGGGUGAGAAGGGACCCUGUUCUACAGUUUCUGGGACAUUUAGAAAUGGGAAGAGUCGGGAUGAUUUCCUUUUAUGUCAGGAUCAACAGAUACAGUGGAAAUAGUCCUUGGUUUAGGGUCAGAGUCAUCAGCUUCACAUUUUGUGUAUAACUACUUAUCUAUGAGACUUCGUAUAAAUAAAUCACUUAAUAUCUCUGAGAUGGGUUGGAUCAGAUAGCUUUUAGUAGUUAAAGGGAAGGACUGAUUGUCAGAAAGAUCUGAGUUUGGGGGAAACUAGAU